UGGGGAAUAUUGGACAAUGGGCGAAAGCCUGAUCCAGCCAUGCCGCGUGUGUGAAGAAGGUCUUCGGAUUGUAAAGCACUUUAAGUUGGGAGGAAGGGCAGUAAGCGAAUACCUUGCUGUUUUGACGUUACCGACAGAAUAAGCACCGGCUAACUCUGUGCCAGCAGCCGCGGUAAUACAGAGGGUGCAAGCGUUAAUCGGAAUUACUGGGCGUAAAGCGCGCGUAGGUGGUUCGUUAAGUUGAAUGUGAAAGCCCCGGGCUCAACCUAGGAACUGCAUCCAAAACUGGCGAGCUAGAGUAGGGCAGAGGGUGGUGGAAGUUCCUGUGUAGCGGUGAAAUGCGUAGAUAUAGGAAGGAACACCAGUGGCGAAGGCGACCACCUGGGCUCAUACUGACACUGAGGUGCGAAAGCGUGGGGAGCAAACAGG
rnacentral:rRNA from 1 species